UAAAAAUGACUUUAAGGUAGUUUUUAUCAACAUGGGUUUAUCUUUGCUUAUCUGCUUACUCCCAAGAUACCUGUACGGAGAGCUUGGGAGGCAUUUCCAUAGGCUCAUUGUCAAGUGAAAGUUAAGCCCCCACUCACUGGGAAGCGAAGUUCCAUUAACUUGCUUUGGAUUCAUGGAAAUUCUGAACAGAGAUGUGAGAAUGACUACAAUUUGAGGUAUCUGUUAAAUACAGCAACAUGACAUCACAAGGAUUGUUUUGGAGUCUCCUGAAUAUGAGAGAUAUUAAAAAGGUGAAAUCUUAGGACUGGAAUAUCAAGGGGAAAAUAGGCAAAACCAUGGUUUCCAGACUCUUUUAUUGGGGAAUAAUUCGUUUGUUGGUUGGUUUGGCAGAAAUGGGAUUAUUUGAAGAGAUCAGCACAGGAAAUAAUGACAGGUCAACAGAAUGAGAAGACAAACCAAAGACUGGGAGAAAAUGUUAGAAGAGAAACAUCUGAUAAUGGAUCCAAAAUACACAAAAGAGUCUUAAACCUCAGCAAUAAGAUAACUUGAUUAAAAUUGGGCAGAAGACUUGAACAAACUUCGACUAAAGAAGAUACAGAGAAAGCAAGUUUGUAACCUUUCUGAGAUCAGGAAAUUUAUAUGAAAACAGAGCCAUCCUGAAAACAAUGAAGAAAUAGUUCUUCCAUUCAAAGGAAAACAAAGUAGAAGCCAAUUUGCUGGAUCAAAUGUGAUCACGACUUUUUUCAAGAUUAAUGUUUGGAAGCAUUUAAUUUUAUAGGAUUGAGUAAAGGAUAGAAAACCCAUUGGUGUUGAGGAAUGUUUAGAUACCUUAGACCUGUGAGGAAAUUCUACCAAAAUCAACAUAACUAAGGGCACUCCGACUUUGGAAUUAAAAUAUAUUGAUUACCUUUUAUGUAACCCGAAUUAACAGUAAGACAACUGGAUCUGUAGAGCAUCACACUGGUUUUAGACGCAGAGAACAGGGAACAAGAACCCCUUUUCCUCUUUUUGAAAACAAAUAAAAUGCAGCGUUGGCUCUCUGGAUGAAGUACA